GCCGAAGUGGCGGAACUGGCAGACGCGUCGGACUCAAAAUCCGAAGCCCUUAAAAGCGUGUGGGUUCGAGUCCCACCUUCGGCACCA
rnacentral:tRNA from 1 species